GGCCCGCGGCGGCGGAGCCAUGGAGCCCGUGGGGCCGGAGCCCUCCCUGUACACUGUGAAGGCCCUGCUCAUCCUGGACAGCCUCGGCCAACGUCUCCUGGCCAAGUACUACGAUGGCACCUUCCCCACGGCCAAGGAGCAGGCGGCCUUCGAGAGGAGCGUCUUCAGCAAGACCUACCGGGCAGGCGGGGAGGUCGCCUGUCUGGAAGGACUCACCGUGGUCUACAGGAGCAGCGCCGACCUCUUCUUCUACGUGGUGGGGGGCUGCCAGGAGAAUGAGCUGAUGCUGUCAGCCGUGCUCGCCUGCCUCCUCGACACCCUCGGCCACCUCCUGCAGAAGGAGGUGGAGAAGCGCUUGCUGCUGGACAACAUGGAGGGGACAUUCCUGGUGGUGGAUGAGAUCGUGGACAGAGGGGUGAUCCUGGAGAGUGACCCCCAGCAAGUGAUCCAGCGGCUGAGCCUGCGGGGCCCGGAGCCGGCAGCGUAUGGCUUCGUCCUCUUCGACUACCUGGCAGGCGGCUCGGAGCAGAGGGACACGAGGGACGCUGGCGGCCGCAAAUAGGCAGCGCCGAGGAGGGUGGUGACAACCCUCUGUCUGAGCAGAGCAUGUCCCAGGUCCUGCAGCCCACCGGGGCGCACAGCGAACCAUCCCCGCUGGCGUGACGGCACCGGGGUCUCCCCUCGGAGGGACUGGCUGGAAAGGGGGGACCCCAGCACCAGGGGACAGUGGGCAGGGGGACACACGGACCUUCCCCGGCAUCCCCCCACUCCCACCCCAGCCUACGUCCCCCAGACACCCCCUCCCUGGCCGUGCCGCCUCCAGAAGCCCUUCAGCAGGUCUCUUAUCCUCCCCCAGCGUUAAUAAUAUUGGGGGAAAAAUUAAGCGCUAAUGAGGGAGGACUGGUUCACCGUUCCCGCUUGCUCCUGCCUGGAGCCGGCUACAAAUAAAGUUUUCCUCCCCGG